rnacentral:rRNA from 1 species
GUGAGUAACACGUGAGUAACCUGCCCUUGACUUUGGGAUAACUUCAGGAAACUGGGGCUAAUACCGGAUAGGAGCUCUUGCUGCAUGGUGGGGGUUGGAAAGUUUCGGCGGUUGGGGAUGGACUCGCGGCUUAUCAGCUUGUUGGUGGGGUAGUGGCUUACCAAGGCUUUGACGGGUAGCCGGCCUGAGAGGGUGACCGGCCACAUUGGGACUGAGAUACGGCCCAG